CCUACGGGGUGCAGCAGUGAGGAAUAUUGGUCAAUGGACGAGAGUCUGAACCAGCCAAGUAGCGUGAAGGAUGACUGCCCUAUGGGUUGUAAACUUCUUUUAUAAAGGAAUAAAACGAGGCACGUGUGCCUUUUUGCAUGUACUUUAUGAAUAAGGAUCGGCUAACUCCGUGCCAGCAGCCGCGGUAAUACGGAGGAUCCGAGCGUUAUCCGGAUUUAUUGGGUUUAACGGGAGCGUAGGCGAACUGUUAAGUCAGCGGUAAAAGCCCGGGGCUCAACCCCGGAGAGCCGGUGAAACUGGCUGUCUUGAGAUGUCGAGAGGUAUGCGGAAUGCGCAGUGUAGCGGUGAAAUGCUUAGAUAUUGCGAAGAACUCCGAUUGCGAAGGCAGCAUACCGGCGGCGAUCUGACGCUGAGGCACGAAAGCGUGGGUAUCGAACAGGAUUAGAUACCCUAGUAGUC
rnacentral:rRNA from 1 species